GAUAUUCUUCUAAAGAUCCCUCCUACCUAAGCUUCAUGAAUCCCUCUAUUAAAUCUUCUAACCCUUCAUCCCCAAACCUACUACAAAUUCCCUUCUCAAAUACCUCUCAAGAAUGUACUCCACCCUGUUCCAAUUAUGGAACCAUGCAUUUGCCCUAUCCACCGAAAACAGGCUUGCUAUUGGUACCUUUUGGUCAAUUGGAACCCUAUAAAAUCUCAAAAUAUUUCACACACUUCCUCAGCCAAACUCUAGGUUCUUUCCCAUCAAAAGUA
rnacentral:misc_RNA from 1 species